rnacentral:tRNA from 1 species
AUAGCCUUUAGAUAUGAGUAAUCUUUAUGACUUUUAAACAUAGUAUGCUUUUUGCAGGUUGUA